rnacentral:rRNA from 1 species
GCCAAGGGCCAUACCACGUUGAAAGCACCGGUUCUCGUCCGAUCCCCGAAGUGAAGCUACGCCGGGCCCGGGUAGUACUUGGAUGGGUGACCGCCUGGGAAUGCCGGGUGCACUUGGCCACU